CGGACAGUGUCUGGUGGGUAGUUUGACUGGGGCGGUCUCCUCCUAAAGAGUAACGGAGGAGCACGAAGGUUGGCUAAUCCUGGUCGGACAUCAGGAGGUUAGUGCAAUGGCAUAAGCCAGCUUGACUGCGAGCGUGACGGCGCGAGCAGGUGCGAAAGCAGGUCAUAGUGAUCCGGUGGUUCUGAAUGGAAGGGCCAUCGCUCAACGGAUAAAAGGUACUCCGGGGAUAACAGGCUGAUACCGCCCAAGAGUUCAUAUCGACGGCGGUGUUUGGCACCUCGAUGUCGGCUCAUCACAUCCUGGGGCUGAAGUAGGUCCCAAGGGUAUGGCUGUUCGCCAUUUAAAGUGGUACGCGAGCUGGGUUUAGAACGUCGUGAGACAGUUCGGUCCCUAUCUGCCGUGGGCGCUGGAGAACUGAGGGGGGCUGCUCCUAGUACGAGAGGACCGGAGUGGACGCAUCACUGGUGUUCGGGUUGUCAUGCCAAUGGCACUGCCCGGUAGCUAAAUGCGGAAGAGAUAAGUGCUGAAAGCAUCUAAGCACGAAACUUGCCCCGAGAUGAGUUCUCCCUGAGACUUAAAGUCUCCUGAAGGAACGUUGAAGACGACGACGUUGAUAGGCCGGGUGUGUAAGCGCAGCGAUGCGUUGAGCUAACCGGUACUAAUGAACCGUGAGGCUUAACCUU
rnacentral:rRNA from 1 species